rnacentral:misc_RNA from 1 species
GAAAUGCGAUACGUAAUGUGAAUUGCAGAUUUCAGUGAAUCAUCGAAUCUUUGAACGCACAUUGCGCCCGCUAGUAUUCUGGCGGGCAUGCCUGUUCGAGCGUCAUUUCAACCAUCAAGCCCCCAGGGGGGCUUGCGUUGGAGCCCUGCGGCUGCCGCAGGCUCCCAAAUCCAGUGGCGGGCUCGUCGUCGUACCGAGUGCAGUAAACAUCCUCGCUCAGGGAACGUGACGGGUUCUGGCCGUGAAACCCCCCCCAUAUCAAGGUUGACCUCGGAUCAGGUAGGAAUACCCGCUGAACUUAA